GUUCUGACGAGUCCCAAAUAGGACGAAAUGCGCAUCCUGGAU
rnacentral:hammerhead_ribozyme from 1 species